rnacentral:rRNA from 1 species
AACGUAGGUACCGAGCGUUAUCCGGAUUUACUGGGCGUAAAGCGUGUUCAGGCGGCCUGGCAAGUCGGGCAUGAAAUCUCUCGGCUCAACCGAGAGAGGCUGUCCGAUACUGCUGGGCUUGAGGACGGUAGAGGGUGGUGGAAUUCCGCGUGUGUGAUGAAUGCGUAGAUAUGCGGAGGAACACCAGUGGCGAAGGCGGCCACCUGGACCGUCCCUGACGCUCAAACACGAAAGCUAGGGUAGCGAACGGG